rnacentral:hammerhead_ribozyme from 1 species
AUCCAGCUGAUGAGUCCGAAAUAGGACUAAAUUUGCAUCCUGGAU